rnacentral:rRNA from 1 species
AGCGAACGCUGGCGGCAGGCCUAACACAUGCAAGUCGAACGAACCUUUCGGGGUUAGUGGCGGACGGGUGAGUAACACGUGGGAACGUGCCUUUAGGUUCGGAAUAACUCAGGGAAACUAGUGCUAAUACCGAAUGUGCCCUUCGGGGGAAAGAUUUAUCGCCUUUAGAGCGGCCCGCGUCUGAUUAGCUAGUUGGUUGAGGUAAUGGCUCACCAAGGCGACGAUCAGUAGCUGGUCUGAGAGGAUGAUCAGCCACAUUGGGACUGAGACACGGCCCAAACUCCUACGGGAGGCAGCAGUGGGGAAUCUUGCGCAAUGGGCGAAAGCCUGACGCAGCCAUGCCGCGUGAAUGAUGAAGGUCUUAGGAUUGUAAAAUUCUUUCACCGGGGACGAUAAUGACGGUACCCGGAGAAGAAGCCCCGGCUAACUUCGUG